AAGUCGUAACAAGGUCUCCGUUGGUGAACCAGCGGAGGGAUCAUUACUGAGUGUAAAAACUCCCAAACCCAUUGUGAACAUACCACUGUUGCUUCGGCGGAUGCGCCCCGGGCGCGCUCCUCACAGGGCGUGCCCCGGAACCAGGCGCCCGCCGGGGGACCGAAACUCUUGUUUUUAUAGGAUCUCUGAGUGUGAUUAUAAAAUAAAUCAAAACUUUCAACAACGGAUCUCUUGGCUCUA
rnacentral:misc_RNA from 1 species